GCUGACGGGCUGUGUAUUCCUUACCAGUAAAAGAUUGUUCUCUGACUGGUCCAAGGAGCCUUGAGCAUUUGAGAUGGAGUGAGGCCAUGUGGAAGGGGCUGUGGAAGGUUCCAUCUAACAACUUGCUAGGCAGGUUGGGGCAGGAGGAAGUGCUCUGUGAGGGGGGCCUGGGAGAGAAUCAGGAGAACAGGGUACAACAGCUGGUGAGAGUUUUGCUUCUGAUAUAGACAAUGCCUGCAGAGCAAACCAUUACAGCUAAGAGAGAUCUUUAAGUGAAAGAAAAGGAGAAGGCUCCAUCUCAGCUUAUUAGAAGACUUGAAUUUGUCUAAUGUCUUGGCUGGGAAAAGCAGCUCAGUUCUCUCUGAAAAGGAAAACCCAAGACAGAAAGCAUGGAUGUGGAAGAAGGCUGGAGUGCAGUGGCGCGAUCUCGGCUCACUGCAAGCUCUGCCUCCCGGGUUCACGCCAUUCUCCUGCCUCAGCCUCCCGAGUAGCUGGGACUAGAGGCGCCCACCACCACAUCCGGCUAAUUGCUUUUAGCACUUUUUUGGGAGAGGAACAGAUGACAAUGCAUUGCCAGGCCUUCAAUACAAAAGGGGUGUGGCAACAGUAAAGCUUUCUACAUGUUAAACAGAAUGAACAAAACCAACGCAGAGCAGUGACUUUCUGUCAGAGAGAGCAGAAGGAGACCCUUAUAGAACAGCUGUUCCACUGCUCCAAAGGCCUCGUGUGGUUCUAUCCCUUGGACUGCCUUUCUUCAACAGCCCAGACACCUGCUCUGUCAGAUUUAUAAGCCACACCCCCUAGAACCAUGCCAAUCAAAGCAUGGC
rnacentral:antisense_RNA from 1 species